AUGGGUGAAAAAUCAAGUGCCUCUACUAUGUUGUGUGUUGGUGAACUUGCAGCACUGCUACAAGAUAAAAAUUAUAAGAUUCUGGAUAAAAUGAUGGGCAAGCAAGGGAAGAGGUCAAGGUCAGUGAACACAGAAGAGAAAAUUUGUUUCUGGUGUGGACAGUCAGGACAUGUGAGGGCAUCUUGUCCUGAACUGAUCCGAGAAGGUUGUGGAGAUGGACAUAACAGGUAUAACAGAGGUCGUGGUCAUGGUUUCGGUAUGUGUGAUGGUGUUGCAAAAUCUUGGCAGAGAAAUGGGGAUUGGCUGUGUCCAAAUGCAAACUGUGGAAAUGUAAAUUUUGCUUUCCGCAGAAUCUGUAAUCUUUGUCGAGUUACACGACUAACUGGUGAUAGUGGAACCACAUAG
rnacentral:rRNA from 1 species